UCCGUUUUCACCCACUCAAAUACAAUUAUUUUACAUUUUCUUCUUUAUCGGUUACAGUGAAUAACUUCAUCUUCUGCAACCCAAAGCUUCAUCGACGUUUAGAGAUUUCCUCCAUUCGUUGCGCAUUCCCUACUGUCUUCUCUGAAUUCUAAUUAUUCUCACUUCUCUUCAACGCGUUGGUGGAAGCCGGAAUCAGGUUGACGCCGAGUUACGACUCCAACGGUGUCAGAUAUAAGCGUUUCGAGUAAGCCUUCUCUGCUUCUUCUUCGCAACUUCAAUAAAAUUGG
rnacentral:lncRNA from 1 species